rnacentral:rRNA from 1 species
UCCACGCUGUAAACGAUGAUCACUCGUUGUUUGCGAUAUAUUGUAAGCGACUGAGCGAAAGCAUUAAGUGAUCCACCUGGGGAGUACGUCGGCAACGAUGAAACUCAAAGGAAUUGACGGGGGCCCGCACAAGCGGAGGAACAUGUGGUUUAAUUCGAUGAUACGCGAGGAACCUUACCUGGGUUUAAAUGUAGGUUGCAUGGAUGGGAAACUAUCCUUCCCUUCGGGGCUACCUACAAGGUGCUGCAUGGUUGUCGUCAGCUCGUGCCGUGAGGUGUCGGGUUAAGUCCCAUAACGAGCGCAACCCCUAUCGUUAGUUGCC